UACAGAGGGGGCAAGCGUUGUUCGGAAUUACUGGGCGUAAAGGGCGCGUAGGCGGUCUUCUAAGUCGAACGUGAAAUCCCCGGGCUCAACCCGGGAACUGCGUCCGAUACUGGAAGGCUUGAAUCCGGGAGAGGGAUGUGGAAUUCCAGGUGUAGCGGUGAAAUGCGUAGAUAUCUGGAGGAACACCGGUGGCGAAGGCGACAUCCUGGACCGGUAUUGACGCUGAGGCGCGAAAGCUAGGGGAGCAAACGGG
rnacentral:rRNA from 1 species